rnacentral:piRNA from 1 species
UGAUAGUCUUUUUUGCCUAAUCUGAACCAC